GUUAAACGAUAAAGAUAACUCGCCUUUGAAGAGAAAGCAAGUCUAGGCUUUUUCUGGGGAAUAUUGAUGAUAUGAGAAAGGUGGAGUUUGAGAGUUUAAAACCAAACCAAACUGAAUGAAGUGAAGUGGGCAAAAAGUCCGUUACCGUAGCUGAAAUUGCCCGAGACGACUCGCAUUUGUCUCAAGAUAACUCGUCUUGGAAGAGAAAGCACGUCUACGCAUUUUCUUGGGACUUGUUGAUGAUAAGAGAAAGGUGGAGUUUAAAAGCUAAAACCAAACCGAGUAUAAAAAUGAGCUGGGAAAGAAAACCCAUAGCUGAAAUUCCCCAAGAUGACUCGCAUUUCAAGAGACGGCAAGUCCAAAGCUGCUCUUCAACACUUGUUGCUGAAAUGAACAGGUAGCGAUUUAGCGGGUCAAGCCAUUUGAAACAACGACAAAACCUGUUCAUAAUAAAACGUUAAUGGGCUCUGUUGAGCUAUUACCGGCAAGCCAAAUCGACGGCAAAAUCUACGUCUAAAGUAGGCAAUCUCGACGGCAAAUCUACGCCUAAUGUAGGCAACCUCAACGGCAAAUCUACGCCU